CAGGCCAGGCUCCGGGAGAUGUGGAAUUGGCGAAACAACUGCCCCAGUAGUAUCCUCCGCCUAGGACUCCAAGAGGUGGCGAAUUGGGGCACUACGCCCGGGAACCAGGGUGGCAGGGCUAGAUGUCCUCUCACCAGACUGCCCAGUGAAGGUGCUGUCACUUUGAUGAAUUAUCAAGGCUUUGUAGUGGGUCUUCUACUGGACAAAGGACAAACUGGAGACUCCCUGGAUCAAAUGUGUUGAAAAUGUUAUAGUGCUGUCAGGAAGUGCUGUUCUGGAAUACAGAAUGUGGCUGCCGUGAGUGGAGUGUGACUAUGAGAUAGUCGCCUGACUGGAGACAAUGAAGCCUCAGGCCAAGGAUGCUCCCUCCUACUCAGCCCUGUUUAGUGGGAUUUUUCAGCCCACUGUAAAGCCUACUGCUGCCUGUAAAGCCACCUAAGUGCAUCACUUGCUGGUGUUCACCAUGAUAACAACAAUUUAUGGGGACAGAAUAUGUUUCUAGAGCUGCUGGUGCCACUGCUGAUGUUACUGGGUUCCCUGAAAUAAAACACCACAGUGCAGCCAAAGCUGGACGGUACUGCUGCCAUCUCGGCUCACUGCAACCUCCCUGCCUGA
ensembl:lncRNA TMEM9B-AS1 TMEM9B antisense RNA 1